CCCCUAUGAUGAGUUGCCAUGCUAAUAUUGAGCCUCUCUAGGUAGGUAUUUUUUUUACACUGCUCUGGGUGCUGUUGAGAUAAAUUGUAUUUCUCUUAAAUCUACCUGAGGGGC